rnacentral:rRNA from 1 species
AACUUUCAACAAUGGAUCUCUUGGUUCUGGCAUCGAUGAAGAACGCAGCGAAAUGCGAUAAGUAGUGUGAAUUGCAGACUUUAGUGAAUCAUCGAAUCUUUGAACGCACAUUGCGCCCCUUGGUAUUCCAUUGGGCAUGUCUGUUCGAGCGUCAUU